GGUUGUAGCUCAGUGGUAGAGCGUUUGCCUCACAUGCAUGAGGCACUGAGUUUGAUCCUCAGCACCA
rnacentral:tRNA from 1 species